rnacentral:misc_RNA from 1 species
CCGAGUCCGGUGCCCUCUGGGUGCCUACUCCCACCACAUGUGUACCCAACUUGUUGCUUUGGCGGGGCGAGGUUCGCCCCUCCGGCCCCGGCUGGAGUGCCCCCGCCAGAGGUUUUAAACUCGAUUAAUUUGAUGUCUGAGUAAAACUUAAAAAUCA